CUCCCCGUCUCCCCAGGUUUUUGUUUUUGUUUUUUUUGUUUUUUUUUUAUCCACAGAUUCUCUCUCUGUCUCGGAGAUUUAUUGCUUCGACAAUCCUCUGCCAGAGAUGUUCGGUGGGUUUUUCUAGAAUCGGCCAAGAAUUCAAUCUCAAAUGCGUCUUCGUUCUGAUUUUCAGCCUCUCUGUGUUCCUCCCUGUCAUAUUUUGGCUUCUUCCUUUUCACUCAUCGCUUUCUGGGUUUGUUGCAAAAUACGCAAUCAAGCAGUGAUCGAAAUUGGAGAAACACGAUGUGGCGAAGCAGCUUCGUCGAGACCCCUAUGAAGUUCUCGGCGUCUCAAGGAACUCCACAGAUCAGGAAAUCAAAAGCGCUUAUCGAAAAAUGGCUCUCAAUUAUCUGCUCAUAAUAUCAAGUAUCAAUUCUGGGUUUUUCAAGUAGCAAACCAAUUGACCCGAAAAUUCUUGGUGGAAACAAAGAAAUCGGUUCAACAAGCCAGCAAAAUUGGGUAUGUGAUGGGGUUCAGAAACAGUUGUGGGUCAGAUAGCAAUGGUCGUGCAGGAUGAUUAUGGGUGUGGUGGAAUGAUGCAGUGGAAGUAUUGCCAACUUAUAGGUCUGCGAAUAUAAUUGCUUUGUAGAUUCAAGAUGAUAUUAGAGUAGUUUGGUUCAUUGUUUUUUUGUAUGGCCAUCCAUCAGUUUCAAGAAGAGGAGAGGUGUGGUGUCAAGUG